UCACCAAUAGAAGGUUAGGUCACAUUCGAAAACAUAAAGUGAAUAGGCCCCAUAACAUCAUUGAGGAUGUCAAAUGUGCCGAUUGGAAAUGUCAUCAAAUGUCAGUAGAUUUUUGUUUUCUUUCAUUCUCUCCUUCUUUCUCUGAAAAAAAACUAUCUGUUUUGUUAUUUGCUGUUUGUUAAACAAGUUAAAACAAGCUCCAUGUAAGCAAUUGGUUAUUUAAAGGCGCCAAUAACUCGCUUUGUCAUAUCGAGUAUCACAGGCACUCAGUAUUUAAACAAGAAUAGGCCGCCCGGCAUCUCACUGAGACUCUCCAUUCGAUAUCGCUGAUUGCGCGAGACUGCAACCUGUGGAAGCGCCCAGUUGAGCUUCUCGUAAUGACGAUGAGCACCACACAAUCGUAGAUUAGAGUUCCAACCCGUGUGCUGCUCAUGGUCAUCCCGUACCAGAAUUGGUUUUGUUACUGCCUUCAAUGCUGUUGAAAUUGCCACAUGUGAAUCUUUUUGGAAGUUAUAUUGAUGUUCUGGAACCUACACGUUUUCUUUUGUUGGCGUAAACUUCCCCCUCUUUUCCCUUCCAAGAUGGAUUUGUGUCACAAUCGUCGAUGUCCCCAUGAGUCUUCCUUUUGAGAUAAACCUGUCGAUGCAUACCUUCCCAUCUAAUCAAUUGAAUAAAUAAACACCUGAAACACAAUUUGGCCGAGCUAUUGAAGAUCUCAUUUAUACCUACUGCUUUAUGUAGAAGAAUGUCAGCUAUUGUUAGCAUACUGUGCACCACAUUAUUUUUAUUCGUUUUUGUAUUCAAAAUUUGUUGUUGUUGUAGUAGGCACAUUUGCAACCUGUGGAAGCGCCCAGUUGAGCUUCUCGUAAUGACGAUGAGCACCACACAAUCGUAGAUUAGAGUUCCAACCCGUGUGGUGCCCAUCGUCAUCCCGUGCCGGGGGCAAAAUUUGUAAUUUGUACAACCGGCUCCCAUGGGAUUGUAGAUGUGGGUUAAUUCGUUUUUACUUGUUGGUUUUAAAAAGACAAAAACUUUUAAUUAAUUUAAAUACUUUUUUAAAUAAAUCAUCUAUUUUCUACGAUGAAAUAUAUGCUUA